GUCCCUCUAAUGCAAUGAAUUGCAUAUUGGAUUUCUAAUCCAGAAGUUGUGGGUUCUAAUCCCACCUGGGACG